rnacentral:rRNA from 1 species
GAUGAACGCUGGCGGCGUGCCUAAUACAUGCAAGUCGAGCGAACAGACGAGGAGCUUGCUCCUCUGACGUUAGCGGCGGACGGGUGAGUAACACGUGGAUAACCUACCUAUAAGACUGGGAUAACUUCGGGAAACCGGAGCUAAUACCGGAUAAUAUAUUGAACCGCAUUGUUCAAUAGUGAAAGACGGUUUUGCUGUCACUUAUAGAUGGAUCCGCGCCGCAUUAGCUAGUUGGUAAGGUAACGGCUUACCAAGGCAACGAUGCGUAGCCGACCUGAGAGGGUGAUCGGCCACACUGGAACGGAGACACGGUCCAGACUCCUACGGGAGGCAGCAGUAGGGAAUCUUCCGCAAUGGGCGAAAGCUUGACGGAGCAACGCCGCGUGAGUGAUGAAGGUCUUCGGAUCGUAAAACUCUGUUAUUAGUGAAGAACAAAUGUGUAAGUAACUAUGCACGUCUUGACGGUACCUAAUCAGAAAGCCACGGCUAACUACGUG